GCCCCCGUAGCUCAGCCGGACAGAGCAGCGGACUUCUAAUCCGACGGCCGCAGGUUCGAAUCCUGCCGGGGGCG
rnacentral:tRNA from 1 species